rnacentral:lncRNA from 1 species
AGGAUGAGAUCAUAGUUUCAGGAUCCUCAGGAAACCCUGGUACUGGCAGCAGCCAGCCUCUGCUGUGCCCACAUGACCCACAACUCUGGCAGCGGACCCGGCACUUCCAACAUUAUUAAAUAAUAAGAAAGCGGCUCCUACUCCAGGCUCAAACCUCCCUGCAGACCAAUGGACACCUUCUAAGAGUUUGGCGAGUCAGUGACUGAAGCGCCCGUCCAUUCCAAGACCUGUAACCAGCAUGAACGACACCCUGUUCUCCCACUCUGUUCCCUCCUCAGGAAGUCCUUUUAUUACCAGGAGCUCGGACGGUGCUUUUGGUGGAUGCGUCUAGAUGGAUAACAUGACUUCUUCUACCCUAAAAUAUUCCUAUAAUACUUUGAGCUGUUCUGGUUCCUCCAGGGUGCAUGGUACCCAUUAACCCAAAAUAUGAUUAUUUCCCUUUUUUCCCAUUUUCAGUCAUUUUGGAAUGUUCUCUGUGAACCACAGUUGUGUUGUUUAAAGCUCACAUUUCUUUCUGUCACCACAGAGAUUGGCCUACGGUUUCUGUUUUGAGGGUGCUGUUCAAUAAAGCUGUGUACACUAAAUGUC